CGGUUGUGUGUGUGAAAGGUGGGGUUAGUUCCGGCAAGGGGGGAACCCUUAUCCUUUGGUGCCACGGGGAUUAGGCCGGGAACUCAAAGGAGACUGCCAGUGAUAAACUGGAGGAAGGUGGGGAUGACGUCAAGUCAUCAUGGCCCUUACGAGUAGGGCUACACACGUGCUACAAUGGCGCAUACAAAGAGAAGCGACCUCGCGAGAGCGAGCGGACCUCAUAAAGUGCGUCGUAGUCCGGAUCGGAGUCUGCAACUCGACUCCGUGAAGUCGGAAUCGCUAGUAAUCGUAGAUCAGAAUGCUACGGUGAAUACGUUCCCGGGCCUUGUACACACCGCCCGUCACACCAUGGGAGUGGGUUGCAAAAGAAGUAGGUAGCUUAACCUUCGGGAGGGCGCUUACCACUUUGUGAUUCAGUA
rnacentral:rRNA from 1 species